GACGAACGCUGGCGGCGUGCUUAACACAUGCAAGUCGAGCGGUAAGGCCCUUUCGGGGGUACACGAGCGGCGAACGGGUGAGUAACACGUGGGUGACCUGCCCUCAGCUCUGGGAUAAGCCUGGGAAACUGGGUCUAAUACUGGAUAUGACUCCACGGUGCAUGUCGUGGGGUGGAAAGCCUUGUGCGGCUGAGGAUGGGCCCGCGGCCUAUCAGCUUGUUGGUGGGGUGANGGCCUACCAAGGCGACGACGGGUAGCCGGCCUGAGAGGGCGACCGGCCACACUGGGACUGAGACACGGCCCAGACUCCUACGGGAGGCAGCAGUGGGGAAUCGUUGCGCAAUGGGCGAAAAGCCUGACGCAGCGACGCCGCGUGAGGGAUGACGGCCUGGU
rnacentral:rRNA from 1 species